rnacentral:rRNA from 1 species
AUUGAACGCUGGCGGCAGGCCUAACACAUGCAAGUCGAACGGUAACAGGAAGAAGCUUGCUUCUUUGCUGACGAGUGGCGGACGGGUGAGUAAUGUCUGGGAAACUGCCUGAUGGAGGGGGAUAACUACUGGAAACGGUAGCUAAUACCGCAUAACGUCGCAAGACCAAAGAGGGGGACCUUCGGGCCUCUUGCCAUCGGAUGUGCCCAGAUGGGAUUAGCUAGUAGGUGGGGUAACGGCUCACCUAGGCGACGAUCCCUAGCUGGUCUGAGAGGAUGACCAGCCACACUGGAACUGAGACACGGUCCAGACUCCUACGGGAGGCGGCAGUGGGGAAUAUUGCACAAUGGGCGCAAGCCUGAUGCAGCCAUGCCGCGUGUAUGAAGAAGGCCUUCGGGUUGUAAAGUACUUUCAGCGGGGAGGAAGGGAGUAAAGUUAAUACCUUUGCUCAUUGACGUUACCCGCAGAAGAAGCACCGGCUAACUCCGUG